UACAGAGGGGGCAAGCGUUGUUCGGAAUUACUGGGCGUAAAGGGCGCGUAGGCGGCCUGUUAAGUCGGACGUGAAAUCCCCGGGCUCAACCCGGGAACUGCAUCCGAUACUGGCAGGCUUGAAUUCGGGAGAGGGAUGUGGAAUUCCAGGUGUAGCGGUGAAAUGCGUAGAUAUCUGGAGGAACACCGGUGGCGAAGGCGGCAUCCUGGACCGACAUUGACGCUGAGGCGCGAAAGCCAGGGGAGCAAACAGG
rnacentral:rRNA from 1 species